AACGAACGCUGGCGGCGCGUUUUAAGCAUGCAAGUCGAGCGGCAAGGGUAGCAAUACCCCUAGAGCGGCGGACGGGUGAGUAACACGUGGACAACCUGCCCUUAGGCGAGGGAUAGCCCAGGGAAACCUGGAUUAAUACCUUAUAAGACCACUGAUAGGAGUAUGAGUGGGGAAAGGUGCUACGGCGCCGCCUGAGGAUGGAUCUGCGUCCCAUUAGCUAGAUGGUAGGGUAAAGGCCUACCAUGGCGACGAUGGGUAGCCGGCCUGAGAGGGUGAACGGCCACACUGGAACUGAGAGACGGUCCAGACUCCUACGGGAGGCAGCAGCUAAGAAUCUUCCGCAAUGGGCGCAAGCCUGACGGAGCGACGCCGCGUGAACGAUGAAGGCCGCAAGGUUGUAAAGUUCUUUUCGGAAGGAGAAUAAGGGGAGCAGGCAAUGGCUUUCCGAUGCCGUGAAUCCCGGAAUAAGCCCGGCUAACUACGUG
rnacentral:rRNA from 1 species